ensembl:lncRNA
GAAGAGCAAAAUCUGUCCUCCACAUGCCCUCUCCGAGGGGCCACUCGCCAGGGGUAACUGGGAGGAGAUGCAGGGAUGCAUAAGGACUUACACCAGCACAGGGCUGGUAUGUUCAGCCAUUCCCUAUGUCGGAGUUUCACUUCAGAGCCCCAGCGCAUGCCCUGCCGGCUGAGGGUCGCUCUUGUCCUUUCAGGCCACAUCACAAUUUCCCCGCUCUAGCCUAGGAACAAAUGGACUUUCUGGCUGUGAGCAUUCAGAGCAGCCUCUGGUAUUUUUCCCAGUUUCCGUUGUCUGCAAAGCCACUCUGGCACGUUACAGCCAUACGUCACACCAGCAAAAGUUUCUGGGAGUGGACUUUUCCGUGGAAUUCAGUUUUGAGUAUUUAAAAUUAAGUUUGAUAAGCUUUCUAUGCACAGGCACUUCUCCUCUCACUUGGACUGUCUGUUAUGGGGAAAGGAAAACACAGGGGCUGUUCUACCACAGUUACAGCUGCUCGACUCCCACUGAUCUGGCCAGCGCCUGGACCCCUUCGGAACCGGCACAGUGCUAUGGAAGUUUGUGGCCAACAGAGCUAGCUGGAUUCCCAGAAGCCGAAUGCUGCCAAAUUCUGGGAUUCACCCUGCAAAGGCUGUGACUGUGACCUGACCGUGACCAGAGGGUCAAAGGCCGAGCCUCAGAGGAGCUGAAGCUUCAAUCAGACGCUUGGCUGAAGGACAGCAACUGCCACGCAGCUCCUCCCUGAACACCUGUCUCUCAAAUCAGCUAAUUUAGUGAUUUGGUUUUCGAAUGGGAUAGAUUUAGAAUUAGCUUUGGUGAUACUUAGUUUUUAGUUUACUAAUGGUAUAGAUUUCUAAUUUGCUUUGGUGAUUUUUUUGCAUUUUAUGUUGUAAGUUUUUAUAUACAACAAUAAUUACGAGUUGUUUGAAACUAUUUUUUUUUUUUUUUUUGAGAUGGAGUCUCGCUCUAUCACCCAGGCUGGAGUGCAGUGGCGCAAUCUCGGCUCACUGCAAGCUCCGCCUCCCGGGUUCACGUCAUUCUCCUGCCUCAGCCUCCCGAGUAGCUGGGACUACAGGCGCCUGCCACCAUGCCCGGCUAAUUUUUUGUAUUUUUUAGUAGAGACGGGGUUUCACCGUGUUAGCCAGGAUGGUCUCGAUCUCCUGACCUCGUGAUCCGCCCAUCUUGGCCUCCCAAAGUGCUGGGAUUACAGGCUUGAACCACCGCGCCCGGCCAUUUAAAACUAUUUUUACAUAAAAUGAAGCAAAUAUGUAGAAAAGAAUCCAAAACAAAGAUAGCUCUUAAUAAAUUAUUGUAAGGCAAUGCACCCUUGUGAUCACCACCAAGGCCUCUCUGCCUCUCAUUCACAGAACCCUCAUUUAUUCUUUUUUUUUAAAUGGAGUCUUGCUCUGUCGCCCAGGCCGGAGUGCAGUGGCAUGAUCUUGGCUCACUGCAACCUCUACCUCCCAGGUUCAAGCGAUUCUCCUGCCUCAGCCUCCUGAGCAGCUGGGACUGCAGGCACCCGCCACCAAGCCCGGCUAAUUUUUUGUAUUUUUAGUAGAGAUGAGGUUUCACCAUUUUAGCAAAGAUGGUCUCAAUCUCCUGACCUCAUGAUCCGCCUGCCUCGGCCUCCCAAAGUGCUGGGAUUACAGGUGUGAGCCACCGUGCCCGGCCGGCUGCCCCCUUUUCAUUGUGAGUUCAGGUUGGGGGUUGGGGGAGAGCUGUGGUGUGAGGCCCUGCGAGAGUCCUGCUGACUCAUUGGGAUGCAAACCUGACUCAGACAGGCUUGCAGGGGCAACUCAGAGUCUGGGUUAUGGGCUCAGUGCUGGACCAGCAAGUCCUGGGUCAGCCAAGCCGCAACCCCUACAAGCUGGAGCAAGCCACAGGGGUGGGGGCUGGGUUUCCGGAGGCAGGGAGAGGGCAGGGCUGUGAGUAGAGGGGGCAGUCAGCUGAGAGCUGACCCCUGGGACAGAACUCUGGGACGGCUGACCCAAGACCUCAGCCUCCUUCACAGUUUACUCGCAAGCUGUCGAGGAGAGCCUCUGUGACCUGUGUGCCUGGAAGAUACGACUUCAUCCCUGACCGGCGCACAGCACCUAGCUCCGGGAGGACAGGCGGCUGCUUCCAUGUGGGGAGGCCCUGGCGCCAUUUUUCUGGAAGACUGCAUGCCCUGGGGGACAGGAACGGGGUCUGAGUCUGCGCGACCCAACUCCCCAAGGAGAGUGACUUGGCUCCCAUAUCCCUGCCCAGGGAGGAGGGAGACCUGCCCUCCCUGAGGAGCUGGAGACACAGUGGAGUGUGGGAGAUGGCUCUGGUGGUCCAGAAACCAGAGCAAGAAGCUUCUUGGGUGGUUUUUAUUUUGUCAGGCCUGGGGCAGGGGUGGCCUUGG